GGACCCGCACAAGCGGUGGAGCAUGUGGUUUAAUUCGAAGAUACGCGCAGAACCUUACCAACACUUGACAUGUUCGUCGCGACUUUAAGAGAUUAAAGUUUUCGGUUCGGCCGGACGAAACACAGGUGCUGCAUGGCUGUCGUCAGCUCGUGUCGUGAGAUGUUGGGUUAAGUCCCGCAACGAGCGCAACCCACAUCCCUAGUUGCCAGCAGUUCGGCUGGGCACUCUAUGGAAACUGCCCGUGAUAAGCGGGAGGAAGGUGUGGAUGACGUCAAGUCCUCAUGGCCCUUACGGGUUGGGCUACACACGUGCUACAAUGGUAGUGACAAUGGGUUAAUCCCAAAAAGCUAUCUCAGUUCGGAUUGUCGUCUGCAACUCGACGGCAUG
rnacentral:rRNA from 1 species